UACAGAGGUCCCAAGCGUUGUUCGGAUUUACUGGGCGUAAAGGGUGCGUAGGUGGCGGGGUAAGUCUGGUGUGAAAGCUCCGAGCUCAACUCGGAAAAGCAUUGGAAACUAUUCCGCUAGAGGGUCGGAGGGGAGACUGGAAUUCUCGGUGUAGCAGUGAAAUGCGUAGAUAUCGAGAGGAACACCAGUGGCGAAGGCGAGUCCCUGGACGACUCCUGACACUGAGGCACGAAAGCUAGGGGAGCAAACAGG
rnacentral:rRNA from 1 species